ACUGAACUGGGUGGUUUGUCCAGAUGCUUUUCAACAAACAGACAUACGUCCCGGCACAAAGACUGUCAGUCUGGUAUUUUGAAGUCAUAACCAGCUGAAUCACACAACUGUUGCUGUGUUUUAGAGCAGAGAAAAUGAAAGCCAAGACUGUGAUCCUGCUCUUUGCUCUUGUGGUCUUGGUCAAAGCAACAGCCGCUGAUCCGUCUGAUGAUGAUGAAGAUGAAGAUGGUGACAACCUAGUAAUUGAAGAGGACGAGGCCUUGAAAACAAUAUUUGAUUCUGAUGCUGAAGAUUCACCAGGAGAAGACAACAAGGCAGCAUAAAGAAACCCUUUCUCCAAGCCGUUUGAGCCAAAAUAUGCUAAAUAAAUAAAGACAAUAAAGGAAUGCAUAGA